CUAACACAUGCAAGUCGAACGAGAUGCGUAUCGGAAAGCUUCGGCCGGAAGAUGCGUUAUCUAGUGGCGGACGGGUGAGUAACACGUGGGUAACCUGCCUUAUGGAGGGGGAUAACAGAGAGAAAUCACUGCUAAUACCGCAUAAGCACACAUUGCCGCAUGGCAGAGUGUGAAAAGAUUUAUCGCCAUAAGAUGGACCCGCGUCUGAUUAGCCAGUUGGCAGGGUAAAAGCCUACCAAAGCAACGAUCAGUAGCCGAUCUGAGAGGAUGACCGGCCACAUUGGGACUGAGACACGGCCCAAACUCCUACGGGAGGCAGCAGUGGGGAAUAUUGCACAAUGGGGGAAACCCUGAUGCAGCGACGCCGCGUGAGUGAAGAAGUAUUUCGGUAUGUAAAGCUCUAUCAGCAGGGAAGAUAAUGACAGUACCUGACUAAGAAGCCCCGGCUAACUACGUGCCAGCAGCCGCGGUAAUACGUAGGGGGCAAGCGUUAUCCGGAUUUACUGGGUGUAAAGGGAGCGUAGACGGAGUGGCAAGUCUGAAGUGAAAACCCUGGGCUUAACCUGGGGACUGCUUUGGAAACUGUUAAUCUAGAGUGUUGGAGAGGUAAGUGGAAUUCCUGGUGUAGCGGUGAAAUGCGUAGAUAUCAGGAAGAACACCGGAGGCGAAGGCGGCUUACUGGACAAUAACUGACGUUGAGGCUCGAAGCGUGGGGAUCAA
rnacentral:rRNA from 1 species